UAAUACAAAAGCCAUGAUAUCCUCACAACAUUUGGUAUUAAAUGAAGCGAAUAAUAAAUUCCUAGAACAGACAAGAGAAGAAGCAAAGAAUACACAUGUCUAUUUCACUUUCCUUUAUAAACAUGAUAAGUAGCGAAAAGAACAAAUAUUAGAGGAUUGAAAUAGAGGGAUGCUUAGUAUUUUAAGAUGAUAUAGAGAGCGUGAAUAAUACCGGGAACGUAACCAAGACAACAAAGAAGAAU